rnacentral:lncRNA from 1 species
CUGCCACACAAAGAUGAUGAAUUCCUAACUUUGUUGGGUCUCUGAAGAAAAGCCCAAAACUUGAAUUUGGAAAGACCAUUUCUGUAUUAUUACCUGAACGGUGAAGUGAAACUCGUGGUGAACGGUGCCCAAAUAGUCUGCAACUUCUUUUGCAGCCUUCAGAUCCGGUGAGCCCUGUUUGACAGAUGCAGAGUCUGGUUUAAGGACUAAAAGUCCAUAUCCUUUACAGUUAUAUUGAAAUUUGUUGUCUUUAAACUCACCUCUAGCCCAACACAGAAGGAAUGGAGCUGUGCUCCCCACUGCUUAGCAGCCUUUGUGCCUGCUAAGUGGCGAGCGGUAAUAGAGGCAACUAAGGAUGAAUCCAGACCUCCUGACAGCAGAACCCCAAAAGGAACAUCGGUCAUUAACCUCUUG